GAUGAAGAACGUAGCGAAAUGCGAUAAGUAGUGUGAAUUGCAGAAUUCAGUGAAUCAUCGAAUCUUUGAACGCACAUUGCGCCCUUUGGUAUUCCUUAGGGCAUGCCUGUUCGAGCGUCAUUUAAACCUUCAAGCUAAGCUUGGUGUUGGGUGACUGUCCGCUUCACGGCGGACUCGCCUCAAAACUAUUGGCGGCCGGUACAUUGGCUUCGAGCGCAGCAGAAACGCGAACUCGGGCCCGUCGUAUUGGCUCCCAGAAGCUAUCUUCACAAUUUUGACCUCGGAUCAGGUAGGGAUACCCGCUGAACUUAAGCAUAUCAAUAAGCGGAGGA
rnacentral:misc_RNA from 1 species